UCUUAAUAAUUUAUAUAUUUUAUUUAUAUAGAAAAUUUAAAAUAUUAUAGUUAUAAUUAUUUUAUUGGGGUGAUAAUAAAAUUUAAUAAACUUUUAUAUUUAAUUUACAUAAAUUAAUGAGUAAUUGAUCCAUUUUUAAUGAUUAAUAAAUUAAGU
rnacentral:rRNA from 1 species